rnacentral:tRNA from 1 species
GGGCCUGUGGUCCAAGGGGAAGACGCCAGCCUGGCGUGCUGGUGAUGCGGGUUCGACUCCCGCCGGGUCCA